CACCGACCCAUUGCCCAAUCAGAAGAAGCAUGGGAAACCGUCUUCAGUCUUUUCUGUCACUCCUUUCAUAAUGACGAUUUCAUUUCCAAGGUAAGCCAAAAGAAAUCAGUCCGUUUUAUUUUCUUGUUCAAAGCCUUUCAUUCUUCAUUUUUCUUCUCUGGAGACUUCUUCUUCACUUCCCCCAUCCAGCCGAGCUUGAUCCAUUUGCAUAAUCUGGAACUCCCCUAUCCAGGUAAAACUCUUCUCCUCUUCUCAAUGAUUCUGUUGCUAUGAUAUGAGCAAGACCAUUUGCGGAUCUAGGUAUAUACUGAAAUCUGAUGUUUUCAAGUCCAUAGAUUUCCUGUUGAAUGUCAAAAAUGUAUACUUCCACCAUAGAUCUAUCUUGACUCUUCGAUUUACAUUUUUUGACUAUUGUGAGGGAGUCUCCUUCAAGGAUCAAAUGUCGCCAUCCCCUCCUGAUUCCCAUUUGAACGCCUUUCCGGCAGGCAAUUGCUUCAGCAGCAAAGGCUGAUGGAAUACCAAAAUGAAUCUCUGAAUAUGAAAAAAGAAUAGUACCAUUCGAAUCUCUGGCCACAAUACCCACACCCGACUGAUUCUUUACUUUAUCGUAAGCACCAUCAAAGUUGAUCUUCAUGAAACUUUCCUGUGGUGGCGACCAUCUCUUUUUCUCUAAGGUACGGUUCAGAUCUCUCUUCUCAAGACUAUCAAUUUCUUUGAUGUAACUGAUUAUAAGAUUUGCAACUUCCGUCCCCUUUCUAAUUUUACCUUCAUGUAUUCUUUUGUUUCUGUCACCCCAUAUUGCCCAGAGUGCACAACAAAAUACGCGACUUUGAUCAAGGUUGAGCUGCUCUAUUGCCCAGGUAAUCCACUGUACAAAAUCUUCACAAUGAUUCCUUAAAAUGCACUGAAACGAUAAUGAUCUCCAUACCUCCCUUGUAAUAUGACAGUAACGAAAUAAGUGGUUCAUUGGUUCAGCUUCUUCUCCACAUCGGGGACAGCUCGGAUUUACUACUAACUUCCGAUGUUGAAGAUUCACCUUUGUAGGCAGAUAAUUCCAAGAUAGCUUCCAUAUUGUAACCUUAAUUUUAGCUGGUAGAUUCAGGCACCAUAGUUUUUUAUAAAAAUUCCCAUAGAUGGUCUGUAAAGCAUAAGCUCUAGGAUUGUCAGUCAAUUUUUGUAAUAGUUGAUAGGCACUUCUGACCGUAAACUCACCCGACCGUUCGCCUCCCCAGAUAAGAAAAUCAUCAUGCGGUGUUUGUGCCAGAGGGAUUCUGAGGAUUCUAGCUGCGUCGUCUUCCAGGAAGGUACUAGUAAUCAACUCUUUUUUCCAACUUCUGGUAUUAUUAUCAAUCAACUCGCCAACUUUAACAUCACGCAAAAAAUUAAUAUCUGAUGAUAAUCUAAAAUUAACAGAAUCUGGAAUCCAAGCAUCGCUUAUGCAAAUAUUAGUACCCGUCCCCACCCUUCAACAAUGCCCUUUUUCCAAUAAGUCCUUUGCUGCCCAAAUACUUUUCCAUACAUACGAACUAGAAUUUCCUAACCUGAAAUUUAAGAAAUUAUCAUCCGAAAAAUACUUAGCUUUAAACACUUUCGUUACAAGCGCAUUCUGAUUAUUCAUAAUCCUCCACCCUUGCUUAGCCAAUAGAGCUACAUUGAACUGUGCCAUAUUUCGGAAGCCCAUACCACCCUCUUCUUUAGGCCUACACAUAAAUUCCCAUUGACACCAUUGAAUUCCUUUCUUUCCUUUCCCUUUCUGCCACCAAAAUCUAGCAACUAAAUUGUCAAACUCAUCACAAAGCGAUUUUGGUAAUAGAAAACAUGUCAUAGCAUAAGUAGGAAUUGCCUGAAGAACUGAUUUAAUAAAAACCUCUCUACCCCCUUGAGAGAAGAAGCGAGUACUCCAAUUAUCAAUUCUUUGCUUUAUUCUGUCUUUGAGAUUCUGAAACGAUUCUUUUUUCUUCCGGCCUACAAUAUUUGGCAAUCCAAGAUAUUUUUCCAUAUUGUUCGAAAAUCUUAUUCCCAUAUCAGCUGAUAACCUGCCUUUAUCCCCCUCCUUCAAAUUCGAACUAAAAAAGAUCAUUGAUUUAUUAAAGUUAACGCAUUGACCAGAGCAACUCUCAUAUUCUUUCAAAAUAGCUUUGAAGUUCCUUGCACUACUUUCUGUGGCUUCACCAAACAAAAUACAAUCGUCUGCGAAUAACAAGUGCGAUAUUAUCGGGCCUCUUCUGCUGGCUCUCACCCUUUUAAUCAAUCCCUCUUUUGUAGCAUUCCUGAUUAACGACGAUAAACCUUCAUUGCAAAUAAGAAAUAGAAAAGGGCUAAGUGGGUCACCCUGUCUGAGUCCUCUGGUUGGUUCAAAGACUCUACCAUUCCUCCCGUUCGUAGUAACAACAUAAGAGACUGUAGAAAUACAUCUCAUUAUAAGUACCACCCAUUCCUUCGCAAAACCCAUCCGUAUCAUAACUUCCUUCAAGAAAGCCCAUUCCACCCUAUCGUAAGCUUUACUCAUGUCAAGCUUAAUUGCCAUAAAACCUUUCUUCCCCUUACGUUUUUUCCGAAGAGUAUGCAGAAUUUCAUAAGCUAUCAAAAUAUUGUCUGAAAUUAGCCUCCCUGGGACAAAUGCACUUUGAGCACUAUCAAUGCAUCUCCCGAUGACUUCUUGAAAACGAUUGGCAAUAGCUUUAGCAAUAAUUUUAUAAAGAACUGUGCAUAAACUAAUUGGUCUAAAAUCUGCAAGGUUUGUAGGAUUGGAUUUCUUCGGAAUAAGGGUAAUCUUAGUUACAUUUAACUCUUCCACGUCUUUUCCAUUAUUUAAAACUUCUAAACAAAAAUUCCCAAUAUCUUCGCCCACUAUAUCCCAGUAUUUUUGAAAGAAUAGAGCCGGGAAGCCAUCAUAACCUGGAGCUUUUGUUGAACCCAUUCCCUUCACUGCAAUAUAAAUCUCCUCUAACGUAAAUUUUUUCAAUAGGGUUGCAUUGAUAUCCGAAGAGAUGCAAUUCUGAAUACCUGUUAGAAGAUGAGAAGGAUCUCUAACGCCUGUAGUCGAGAAAAGCUUUUGAAAAUACUGCGUCGCCAACUCAUUAAUUUUAAACUCCUCAGUAAUUCCUCUCCCAUCAUCAUUAUCAAGCCUGCUAAUUGUAUUAAUUUUUCUCCGCAUUGAUGCAUAUUUAUGAAAAAAUUCUGUAUUUUUAUCCCCCAACUUUAGCCAAUUAGCUCGUGCUCUCUGUUCCCAAUACAUCUCCUCCUUCUCGAUUUCCAUGCUCAAAUGAAUUCUUUUAUUAAUUAUCUGGUUCAUAACAUCUUCAUCAGGUUCCUUCUUCAUUAAAUCUUCAACCUCUUUUGUAGUUCUUUCUGUCAUUCCCUUCCGUUGCCUUCUAAUAGAUUUAGCCCAUUUCGAUAAGCUAAUCUGCAAGUUCUCAAGAUUUUCCAAAACCGAUCCAUUUUGUGACUUCCAGGCUUCCCGAAUUUCUUUCUCUAUUGACUCCUCUGUAGUCCACCAGGCUUCAAAUUUAUAACUUGGAACUGUCUUGAAACUGUUUAAAUUAAUUGUGCUUAUUAACAAAGGACAAUGAUCCGAAAGGGUAGACAUCAGAUGAUUAAUAUUGCCCGUUGGAAAUAACUCCAUCCAUUUUUCGUUUGCAACACCUCUAUCCAAUCUUUCCCAUAAUUCGUCUCUGGUAAAUUCCCUCUCUCCCAUGUAUACCAUACUCCUGAAUAUCCCAAGUCUAAAAAGUGACAUUCUUGUAGAGUUUCCCGAAACGCUGCCAUCUUUCUUUCAUCCAUCGGUUGACCUCUUUUUUUUCAAAAGAAUAAGCUAUUUCAUUGAAAUCUCCACUCACUAACCAAGGAUACUCUUGCUCCUGUCCCAAGAUCUUUAAUAAAUCCCAUGAAGCAUUUUUAUCUUGUGAGUAGGGAGAGCCAUAGAACCCUGUGAAUCUCCAAUCGCCAUGAGCACCUUCUCCUUUAACCAGCACAUCAAUAUGACUUAUUGACAAAGAUCUAAGGUGAAUCUGAACCUCCUCUCGCCAUGCUAAACAAAUACCACCCUGCGUACCAGUAGCUCCUACUUCAAGUCCAUUCAUGAAACCACACAUUCUUCUAAUUGCUUCCAUACGUUUUCCACUUACUUUAGUCUCCAUUAAGAAGACAAAUUGAGGAUUAUUUUGCUUCAGUAAAAAUCGAAGCUUCCUUACUGCCCGUGGACUCCCCAAUCCACGGACAUUCCAACAUAUGAUUUUCAUUGUGCCCGGUCGGCUUGCCCAUUGGCAGCCGCCGAUCCUGUCUGGUUGGAAAAUUCUAUUUGUAAAUUAAUUUCAUCCUUCGAAGUUAGAUCCUGUUCAGCACGUUUUGUCCUUUUUAGAUUCUCUUCUCGAAUCUCCUUUACCCCAUCUUCAUCUUGCACUAAUUCUGCCAAUUUCCUUUUUUGCAAUUUACGAUCAGCCUCAUGGUUCUCCUUCCCUCCCACUAUUUUCCUUCUUUUCCAACUAACUUUCCUGGCUAAAACUAGAUUACUGACAGUACUAUCUACAUUACCUCCUUCAUUGAUACCUGCUUCCUUGUGUAAUUCAAGAUCUGCAACAGCUGAUGCCAAACAAGAACUAUCCUGGAUCCCUCCCACUAAACCACUACUUUGCUCCAUGUACUGAUAUUCUUCCUGGUUCUUUGUAAUGCCUCCAACAUAAGAGCAUUGUGGUUGUGAUUUUUUCAAUAAAGCAUUAAACUUUAAACUCUCCCUUCCCACUAACUUUGAUUCUGCUUUUAAUGCUAAAGAAAAAGGUAGAUCCACUUUAAUUCUGUUUUUCUCUACAGGAGUAAAUUCCGAGCAAUCGUGGAUGCCAUGCCCUAACUUGCCACAUCCAAAACAGUAAGUCGGCAACUUUUCAUACUUAAAUGGGAUCCAAGAUUUAUUCCCAUUCCCUAUUGUGACAAAAAUACCCCUUCGAAGAGGUUUCUGAACAUUUAACAGCACUCUAAGCCGACAAAAUUCACCAAGAAUUUCAGAUCUGAUUACCUCUCCAAAAGUGACUCCUAUAGCAUGCAAAAGGUCUUUUUUAUCAAACUCUGGUAGACACGGCCCAAUUUUAAUCCAAAACGGUGAUGAGACAAGCCGAAUUUGAUCUCUUAACAUUGAUUUAUUCAACCGAUCGAACAGGAUUAAUUGCUUCCUAAACAACCAUGGUUGGCCUUCCAAAACAGUCUCUAAAUCCUCUUCCAAUUCAAACUCAAUCAAAAAGAGAUUUUGUCCAGCAACUUGAAUCACAAAUUUCUUCCUUGUCUUCCAAAUACUCCUCAUCUGUGCUUUGAAACUAUCUUGAUUGUAAGGUUUCUUUGUCCAUACAGAACAUAUCAAAGAGAAAUUGCCACUUGGUUCCACCAUCGAACUUUUAACCGAAAGUUGAAUAAGCUCUUCUGUUAAUAAGGCGAUCUCAUCUCCCCCAAACCCAUCGUUACCACCGCUCUCCAUUAUCCCAAGCCGCAGCAGCCACUGUUUUCGCUAAGAUACCAAGGAUAGCACUCUUGGUUUCUAGGGUUUUAUAGUAAUAUAAUAUUAAAACUAAUAAUUUUUUAGUAACAUAAUUGAAAAUUUCAUAAAUUAAUCUUAAAAAUUAGUAAUUUUUUUAAAUGUAAGAGAAAUAUAAUUUUCUAAACAUUAUUAAAAUUUUAUUUAUAUAAUUUUAAAAAUACACAUUAAAAAUUAUUAAAAAGAACACAUUAAAAAACUAUUUAAAAUUUUUAAAAAAUAAUUUAAUCUUUUAAGCAGCAUACAUGAAUUUAAAUUUCAAAAUAUGUACAUGAUAUACUUUAAACAUAGAUGAAUAAAAGUAAACUUUAAAAAGUUUCUAAAAAGUUAAAAUAAUUUUUUGAAAAACAUUAUUACAAAUACAUUUCAUAAAUAAAAUUUUAAUAGAUUUCAUGAAUACUUUUUUUUUUAUAUUUGUUUAAUUUAAGAAUUUGUAUAUAUCGUACUUUAAUUUUAUCAAAUAAACAUUGA
rnacentral:lncRNA from 1 species